GUGUUCACAUCACAACACAGGUACUAAAACUAGAACGAUACUGAGAUUAGCAUGGUACCUGCAUAAGGAUGAUGUGCAAAUUCAUGAAGCAUUCCAUAUUUUU